rnacentral:rRNA from 1 species
UACGGGGGGGGCAAGCGUUGUUCGGAAUUACUGGGCGUAAAGGGCUUGUAGGUGGCCAACUAAGUCAGACGUGAAAUCCCUCGGCUUAACCGGGGAACUGCGUCUGAUACUGGAUGGCUUGAGUGUGGGAGAGGGAUGCGGAAUUCCAGGUGUAGCGGUGAAAUGCGUAGAUAUCAGGAAGAACACCCGUGGCUAAGGCGGUUCUCUAGUACGGUACUGACGCUGAGGCGCGAAGGCGUGGGGAGCAAACGGG